rnacentral:rRNA from 1 species
CAACUUUCAACAACGGAUCUCUUGGUUCUGGCAUCGAUGAAGAACGCAGCGAAAUGCGAUAAGUAGUGUGAAUUGCAGAAUUCAGUGAAUCAUCGAAUCUUUGAACGCACAUUGCGCCCCAUGGUAUUCCGUGGGGCAUGCCUGUUCGAGCGUCAUUU